rnacentral:piRNA from 1 species
UACCACCCUCCCCCCAGCAAUCUCGUUCAC